GCGCGUUGUUCCCGAAGUUAUCUUUGAUGUUGAGCGACUCCCAGGCGUGAGACUUGAUGACGUAAUCCAUGAGGAUCUUCACUGUUUCCGGCUGAAUGGACCUGAAAGUUCAACGAAGAUGAUUGCUAGCUUCAGACGACAGUACCUGCAGCGAGCAGCGACGUGCAAAGCCGUCUCGCCCAAGUUGUUCCGGAUGCUGGCGGUGGCCUUGCUGCUGAUGAGGGCGCCAAUGGUCUUUGAGAACCCUCGCUCGCAAGCCUCGUGCAAGGCCGUGUUGCCGGCGCUGUUCUGGCUGUCGAUCUUCACCUGCACGUGUGUACGCGUGCACACACACACACUCUUGUCAAUAUAGUUACUAUAUCCUCUACAAUUUUUUCUAUGCUUCUUGUUUUGUUUUCAGGUUUUUUGGGGUUAUUUCUGUAUUUUGUUUUUUGAGUCAAUUGACAGCGCGUAAGUGCUAAGCAGAAACUAUUUACUAUAUGCACAACUUUGCAUUAAAUGGAUUUAAAAAUCUGUUUUUAUUAAUUAAUUUGACGUUAAGACAGAAAUUGAGAUGUGAGAUUUCUUGGCCAUUGUUUAUUUGUAAAGAUUUUUCAGCGCAUGAAAUUUGCAUGUGUGUCUGUCAAAGAGAGAGAAUUAAAGAACUCUUCUCUA